rnacentral:rRNA from 1 species
AAGCGGUGGAGCAUGUGGUUUAACUCGACGCAACGCGAAGAACCUUACCAGGGCUUGACAUCCCCUGGCCGCGUAUGAAAGUACGUUUUCACCUUCGGGAGACAGGGAGACAGGUGGUGCAUGGUUGUCGUCAGCUCGUGUCGUGAGAUGUUGGGUUAAGUCCCGCAACGAGCGCAACCCUCGACCUUAGUUGCCAGCAUUCAGUUGGGCACUCUAAGGUGACUGCCGGCUAAAAGUCGGAGGAAGUGGGGAUGACGUCAAAUCAUCAUGCCCCUUAUGACCUGGGCUACACACGUGCUACAAUGGGCGGUACAAAGGGUCGCGAACCCGCGAGGGGGAGCCAAUCCCAAAAAGCCGCUCUCAGUUCGGAUUGCAGGCUGCAACUCGCCUGCAUGAAGUCGGAAUUGCUAGUAAUGGCAGGUCAGCAUACUGCCGUGAAUACGUUCCCGGGCCUU